GGAGUCUUCUGUAAGAGUAGGCAUCCUAUUGGCAAGGACCUCUCCCUCAUGUCUUGAUCACCUCCCAAAGGCUCCACCCCCAAAUAUCAUCACACUAGGGAUCAAGAUUCAACAUAUUAAUUUGGGGGGUGGGAAGAUACAGACGUUCAGUCUAUAGCACUAACCAAGAGAAUUUUUUAAAGUUCCUGUUGGUGAAUGCAAUGAACUUUUGGCAGAGUUGGGUCAGAAGGAAAGUUAACGAUCUGGGGGCACCUGGGUGGCUCAGUCGGUUAAGCAUCUGCCUUCGGCUCAGGUCAUGAUUCCAGGGUCCUGGGAUUGAGUUUUGUAUCAGGUUUCUUGCUGGGUGGGGAGUCUGCUUCUCCCUCUGCCUGCCACUCCCCCUGCCUGUGCUGUCUCUCUCUCUCUUUCUCCGAUAAAUAAAUAAAUAACAUCUUUUUUGUUUUAAGAAAGUUAACAAUCUGCAAAUGAAAUCACUAAGGGAGCCUGUUACAGCUUUUCUUUUGAGGAAGCGGGGCAGGGCGGGGGGCGCGGAGAGGGCUCAGCAUGGGAGCGCGCACCUGCUCUCUGUAGGGCAGCAUUCACAGCUCUAAACUUCUGAGGGCAGGAAGCAGCAGGACAGGUUGAACCACAUGAAACUGCCGCUGCUAUAGGUCAAAAACAGUUAGCUAGUGGCAACUUCCUGUGGCAUAGCUCUGUCCGUCCAGCAGGCAUUCAGGGAGCCCUGGGCUAUCGCGCAUCAUUGUUAUCUGCUCCUCUCUUGGCUUCAGUUGCAUUAACGGUCCGAGAGAUGAAUGCCCACUCAAGUGCAGAAAGUUCAGACUGGCUCUGCACAAGUUCAGGCUGGUUCUGCUCAAGCUGACAUUUCCUUUCACAGAGGCUGAUUCAAACAGUCUUGCAAAGGACACACGCAAGAAUCCAGUGUGGGGGCAGGACCGUAACAUUGCUCUUUAUCAUCAUGUUCUUUUUUGGGCCACGAAGAGAAGAAGAUCCUCCAGGAAAUCUGGGGACACUAAGACAUGCAAGGCUGAUAUGGCUGUUUCUGUCCCC
rnacentral:lncRNA from 1 species